CAGGAUCCACCCCUUCCCAGACCUCAUUUCAGGGUUGGCAGUGGAGGCGAGGGAAUCUUACUGGAGAUCCCUGUGUACCUGAGACCUUCUGAAGUGGGAUCUCAACCUGUGCAGUGGGAAGCUCCCUGGUUGCUUCCCUGUUACGUCUCACCUCCUACAGACCAGAGAGCACUCAGACAGGAGAGCCAGUGGGAAGCUCCCUGAAGGUGAGGACCGUGUGUGCUGCAGGCUGCCAAGAGGAAAAUAACUACAUGAGCAUUUAAAGCAGCCUGGGCAGGAAAAGAUGGAAGAGAGGAACUGUGAAGGAGUCUGUCAAAGUGACAGAGGCUUCCUGGGUGCCUCCUGCAAAGGGCAGGAGUCUAAAAGGAGCAGGAGGAAUAAGCAGAUGAGAACAUGGACCCUUGAAAUUGAGGGUGGUAAAAGCACAGUGCAAAUUAAUGGUGUCUUGCUUAUCUUCAUCCCCCAGUCUCUGUCUCUAACACACUGGGGCAACUUGGUAUUUUUCUUCUCCUGUAUCAUUAGAGAUAUUGAAGUCUGUGGGUGGCCAAUCAUUUCCUUCAGGUGUCACUGAGGCUUCCAUCUGGGUAAUGUUUUCCUUGUCAGAUCUGCUCUGCGGACACAGUGUGUCAGUUUCCUCUUUUGUCAGAGAAGUGGCAGUGGCACUUGUAUGUCAGCUGGGAAGGUGGAGAUGUAAGUUUGUUUCUCAUCAAGUGUACGAAGUCAUGAACUGAAACAUGAAAGUUUCUCCCCGGUAAAAACCUUCCUCAGAAAGACAAAUGGUGGCAAAUACUGUUGUUCCCCCUUGGUAACUCAAACAUGUUCAUUCAUUCACUUCCAGAUCACACCCCAAUCUGAACAACUGAAUGAAUGAACACAUGUCAAAGAAGGGUGAGCAAUGCACCAAGUUGGCAGGGCAUGAACUGUGGUUGUAGGGUUCCCAUGUGCUAAAUUUCUCAGGUGAAGCUAUGAAUAUGAAUGAGUGAACCUCAUGGACCUUUCCUUUAAUGGAAAAAGCCACAUGUGACCUUGCUGGCAGGAAGGACAGAGUGUCCUAACUGCCAUUCUGCUCUCUGCUCUUCUGGUGUGGAGCACAGGCUGCUGGAAGGCUGGCAAAAGCAUUCCCACGUGGCUUCUCCCUUACUCUCUUUCAAACUCAGGAAACUUGAAAUAAUAUGUGCUCUCUGCACUGUCAAGGAUCAAAGUCUAACGUGUUCCAACAAGUUUCUCUAAUCUUCAUACAUCUGUGGUAUCAAAGAUGCUUGUCUAAACAAAACUUCUGAACAGUGUGUAGUGCUACCUGAGACCUGAUGGGGAAAAGGGAGGAAAUGCACCUUAUUAAUUCUCUUUCUAAUUUACAUGGCAUUUUAUGAGCAAGUGAAACUCAUUUUCUUCAAAGAUAUUAGAUCUGGGAAAUGCAGCUGAUAAUUUAAGCUGGUAGAUUGAUGCGUUAGAGGCAAGCUACGGAGGUUUUGAUGAAAUGAUGCCCUUAUCUGAUAGAGCAGCAGCUGAGAUACAUAACUGUACAAACCAUGAGUCUGAUCUUGUGGGUAGAUGUUUCCUUCUAAGACCCUUUGGAGUUAUAGUUCACCAUUCCUUUGAGACAGUGUAUUGCAGCCCAACAGGGAUAGUACAUACCAUGGAUUUUUAACUGAAGUAUGCCACUUAGGGCUAACUACCUGCAGUUUUGUCCUUUCCCACCUGUUUCACAAAUAGUUUACAAGUUCUGUCAUUUGUUAAACGCAUUACUUCACCUCUACAUCUGUGCUGUGUACUCCUGCUGCAAUGUAUCAUAUACUACAUAUAUAUGCACACUACAUAUUCCAAAACAGGGAAUCUCUCUGGCUCACGUAUGAUUCCUUCCACUACAGCAAGUGUCAGUGACACGUUGUUUAAGAUCCGUCAGCUACACUAUAUUUAGCAUUUCUUUUUUAAACCAAGACUUGUCACAGAAGAACAAAUUGUGUCAUUCACUAGAAUAAUCUCUCCCACAAGGAGACACUUUGAACAAUGGGAAUACCAUGAGUGCUGUAAUUAUGUAAAUCACAAACAAUCUAAUUCCAUCACAUCACUAGCUAAAACAAUGCAUGCUAAAUGACAAAGAGUAGGUACAGGUGCGCAUACUUCAGUGUCUACUGAAAAUAUGCUGUCUGGGGUUGUAUAUGGUAUAUGCUUCUUGCCUUGUGCACUGUUGUUUUUUGUCACUUUGACCCAGAGUCAGCCCUAAAUUAACCCUGCAAGGACUGUUCAGGAUGAGGACCAGCACAAACUGUCUGCACAGAGAUUUUG